rnacentral:misc_RNA from 1 species
AACGCAUAUUGCGCCCUUUGGUAUUCCGAAGGGCAUGCCUGUUCGAGCGUCAUUAUCAACCAUCAAGCCUGGCUUGUCGUUGGACCCUUUUUACCGCUGAAAUAUGUGGUAGGUCCGAAAGAUAAUGACGGUGUCGUGUUUGACCCUAGAUGCAACGAGCUUUUUAUAGCACGCAUUGAAGUGGUCGGUCGACCCGGUCUUUAACCAUCAUUUUCUAAGGUUGACCUCGGAUCAGGUAGGAAUACCCGCUGAACUUAA